UAAGGGCUAUAGCUCAGUUGGUAGAGCACCUCGUUUACUUACCGAGAAGGUCUACGGUUCGAGUCCGUAUAGCCC
rnacentral:tRNA from 1 species